GAGCCUUGUUCCACCUUUGGAGCCUUGUGUUUAUUUAAUGCUUUUGGUGAAAAUCAUGACAGCCACAUAGAUUUUAAGGAGAUAUCCUGUGGGCUAUCAGCUUGUUGCUGAGGACCUCUGGCUGAAAGACAGAAAUGUAAGUGUGUUAAACAUCACAAAAUUUGGAAGCUAUACAGAGAAAAAAAUUAGCAUCCAUUCAUGUAAAAAAUCAUCUGAUUAAGGCUUGAAUUUUCAUCCCUUUGGCAAAUAGCAAUCUCUUGCUGAGGUUUUACUGAGGUAUUUGAUGUUGAUGGUGAUGGAGUUCUCUGUAGGGUUGAACUGAGAGACACGUGGUUGCACAGAGGUCUGGAAGGACAACUGCACCGAUGAUACCCUGGAAUUACUUGUGGAUCUAUCCAACAUUGUAGAAGACACAUAGAAUGCACAUGACACCACAAAGAAUGGCCGUCUUAACUCUAGAAGAAUAUCAGAUCUGGAGUGUGAAAAAUGUUCUUGCCAAUGAGUUUUUGAAUCUACUUUUCCAGGUAUGUUUAAGGUAAAUGACAGAGACCGAGGGCAGUGGUACCAGUAGUUCUACAUCUUUUCCAUUAUGUAGUAGUUAGACAACUAGACUACAAAACCAUAUAUUGUCAGAAGAACUGCAUUAACCUGUACACCACCUGCAGAUGGUUAAGUUAGAGCGUGCGUGCUUCUCAGAGUCACAAUGUGCAUGAUAGGAAAGUAGAGUAUAGCUGAUAAUGUUUAUCUUAAUAACUCAUGAUAGAGCAGAUUGUAGACACAUAGAAAAGAAUUUAAAAUGUAAAAGCCAUUAUAAUUUGCUAUUUUUCUUUACUUUUUUUUUUAAGACCCUCCCUAACAAGUAAGGCAGUGUGGACAGAGACAUAGAUCAUAAGUUGGCAGCUGUAAAUUUUUCACAAAGUAUACCAUCUUUCCAGUUAGGAGGUUAUUUUAGAUGCAGAGCUGUUUCUUAAUUUUCUUUCUUUCUUUCUUUUUUUCUUUUUUGUAAUUUAAUUCUUUAGAAGGUCCAAUAAAGAUUGAAGGAGAAAGGAGGAAAGAAAAGCUGUCAGGGGUGAACAUGAAAUCAUAAAACUUGCCAGAUUUUAACUAUUUUUCCAGUUAAAGUAGUUCUCUUUGCUCCAAUUUAAAGAAACAACUUAUAGUUUCCCAUUUUUCAUAGUUCUUCAAAAAUAUAUGUUGAUUUAAUA